CGCGACUUCCAAGAACUCCCCGCGUAGUCAGUUGCCCGGGCCACGCCCCCUUUCCGGACCCGCCCUGCCCGCCCCAGGGAGGCGGGGGCGGAGCUUGCGGCCCAGCGGGAAGGCGGAGGCGGGGGUCGCGCCCAGGUCCCGGGGGCGUCAGAGGCAAUGGGAAGUCGUGGCUUCUGCACCGCCCUUGGGGGUUCGGCUCCCAAUCAGGGAAAAAGGGCCGAGAGAAUGAAAGAGUAAUGAGACUUGCGAGUUUGAGGCUCACACUACUCUUUGGGUUGGGGGUUGCUGAAGCCUCCACGUGUAUUCAGGGAGCCCCGAACCUCACACCUCUGUCCAGGGGAGCUCAGAACCCGCGUGUUCUGGAAAGCCUACACCUUCCCCGGUUUCUUAGUGUCUAGGGGAGCCCACAACCCUCACAGCCGUGUCUAGUGGCGCUCAGAUCCACACACCUGUGUUUGGGGGAGCCCAGAUCUUCUCUACCUGUGUCCAGAUGAGUUCAGAGCCCCCACGUUUGUCCAGGAAAGCCCACCUCUGUCCACAAGCGCUCUGACUAGGACCUUUCCUGUUUCCUGAGGCUCAGCCUAGGGGGUCAUCCCACCCACGUCUGUGUUAAGGGGAGCUUGUGUCUCCCCAAACAUGUCCAAGUGAGCUGAGCUCAGGAGCUGAGGCCUCCCCAUAUCGUGCUCCCCGCCUAGCCCUUUGGUGAAUCCCUUUCUCAGAAGAAACCCUCAGGGGCCCUAGCCCUGCUGCCCUUCCCUGCACUGUCUUCGAGCCUCCUGGCCCAAUUGGCCCCUCCCCCAGUACACUGUUGAGUCUUAGUUAAGACAUAAUCCCAGCAUUCACUGUCCCCCAUCCCCCAGCUCUCCCGCACCUCGGCGGCUGGCCGGGCCCCCGGGGGUGCCGUCAUCCCAGCCGGCUGGCCACCCGACUGGCACCAAUUAAUUUCCUCCUCGGCCUGUCCACCCAGGGCCUCGGCCUGUCUGGUUGCCAGCUGCUCACCCUCAGCCAGCCCGCCCCCUCGGGCUCCCAGGGAAUUGCCAACAGUUCUCCUUCCUGCAACCCCCCCACCCCCAAUCCAGGCCACCCCACCCAGCACAGUUAAUCAGAAAAAGCUGACAGGGAGUGAUCUGAAAUCAGAUGGAGGAGGGGUGGGAUGUUAAACUUUCGGACCCAGGGAUGCUUGGGGUGGAGCGGGGGCAUGGCUGGAGGGAGGCAGAGGAUCCAGUUUUACCUAAGAACCCCAUAUCAAAGGCUUUUAGCUUCCAGAUGGGGACUGCAGGGAGGGCUGACCCCCUCCCACAUACACCAGGCGGGCAAGGUGGAGCGCCCCCCCCCCGCCCAAGGUGCGUCAGUGACAGCUGUGCCUCCCCAGCCCGCACCCAGCCGGUUUCCUUUUCCUGUGCACACUCUCCCGAUGGGCUGGCCUUCAGCCUGGAGAGACUCCACGGCCCCUUGGAAGGGGCUCCCCAGAGGGUCUUCCUGGACGAGGGGGAGGGGACAGGCUGAAGAACAAUGGGGCUUCUGUGGCUGCAGGACGCCAGGCACUUCCUGUUAACCCUUUCCUCGGGGUGCAGCUGCAGGGAGCACCUCCCAGGUCCCGCCUUGUGGGAAGGGGCAGAGGCAGCCCGAGGGGAAAUCUUGUUUCGGGAAUUAACUGUUGUGUUAAUUGAGGCUUUUGUGAGUGUGCUUAGGAGGGGUGAGGUGAAUCACACCUUUUCUCACUUGAUGGAGUUACAGGGCUUUCUCCUCUAUUGCUGAGGGCUGUGCAGUCAGGGACGGGGCAGGGCUAGCCUGGGAGAAGCCUGUGCACUGAGCUCAGAGACGUUCAAGGCUUUUCCCCAGAUAGGUUACACCAGGAUCUCCAGGGCAUGGACAGGGAUGGGGUCGGGGAACCCAGGCAUCCUAGGUGAAUCCAAGGAACAGCCAUGUCUGCAAACCACUGUUCUAGCUGCCUUGCUGGGCUUAUCUAGGGGCCACGAUCCCUGAGUCAGUUCCCUUGGCAGCCUGGGUCUCAGUUUCCCUUGGCUUGUAGAAGUUCUCCCAAGGGCCUACCAAGAGGACACGGCAGUCUAGGAGCUCCCUAAGGGGCAGGAGUGGGCUGGGAGCCUUGGAAAUGGUUUGUUUCUCCUGGGAGCCCUGAGAAGUCAUGUUGGGGGAAUUAACUGCUGUGUUAAUUGAGGCUUCAAGCCAAGUCCCCUCUGUUUACACAGAGAGUCUGAGAAAUGCCCUCGGAAGAUUCCGAGAGCCUCCAAAGGCCCUGGGGCCUUUGCUUCUGCCCUGGAGGCUUCCGGUUUUUUACAGGUAAGAUAACCUCUCCCAUAGUCAAGAGAGAGACUUACUGAUGCUUAUGGCAGCCCCAGGCCCUGAAGGUAUGCUGUACUUCGUCACUUCCAUGCAUUUGUUUAAUCCUCACCACAAGCCUGGGUCAGGAUAAAAAGUAGGCACUUCACUCUUUUUUUUUUUUAGGGGUCUUGCUAUGUUGCCCAGGAUGGUCUUUAACUCCUGGGCUCAAGUGAUCCUCCCGCCUUCGGCCUUCCAAAGUGCUGAGGUUACAGGAAUGAGCCACCGUGCCCAGCCCAGCCCUAAAGUAGGCCUUUUUUUCCCCCCGUGACGGAGUUUCACUCUUGUUGCCCAGGCUGGAGUGCAAUGGCAUGGUCUCAGCUCACCGCAACCUCUGCCUCUGGGUUCAAGUGAUUCUCCUGCCUCAGCCUCCUGAGCAGCUGGGAUUACAGGCAUGGGCACCAUGCCCGGCUAAUUUUAUAUUUUUAGUAGAGAGGGGGGGUUUCGCCAUGUGGGUCUCGAACUCUCAACCUCAGGUGAUCCGCCCGCCUUGGCCUCCUAAAGUUCUGGGAUUACAGGUGUGAGCCACCACGCUCGGCCUUUUUUUUUCCCUUCUGAAGUGGAGUCUUGUUCUGUUGCCCAGGCUGGAGUGCAGUGACGCGAUAUCAGCUCAUUGAACCCUCUGCCUCCCAGGUUCAAGCAAUUCUCCUGCCUCAGCUUCCCAAGUAGAUGGGAUUACAGGCAUGCACCGCCACGCCCAGCUAAUUUUUGUAUUUUUAGCAGAGAUGGGGUUUCACCAUGUUGGCCAGGCUGGUCUUGGAACUCCUGACCUCAGGUGAUCUGCCUGCCUCAGCCUCCCAAAGUGCUGAGAUUACAGGUGUGAGCCACUGUGCCCCACCAGGUAGGCACUUUCAUUAGCCCCAUUUUACAGAUGAGGGAACUGAGGGGAACUGAGGCACAGAGUGGUUAAACAAAGUGUCCCGGGUUACCCUGUCCAGUAAAGCAAAGCCCAUUGACAUUCUUCCUCUCCUGGAUUUUUUUUUUUUUUUUUUGAGACGGAGUCUUGCUCUGUCGCCCAGGUGGGAGUGCAAUGGCCCAAUCUUGGCUCACUGAAAGCUCCGCCUCCCAGGUUCAAGCAAUUCUCCUGCCUCAGCUUCCUGAGUAGCUGGGAUUACAGGCGUGCACCACUGUGCCCAGCUAAUUUUUUUUUUUUUUUUUUUUUUUUUUUUUUUUUUUAGUAGAGACGGGGGUUUCACCAUGUUGGUCAGGCUGGUCUCGAACUCCUGACCUCAUGAUCUGCCUGCCUCGGCCUCCCAAAGUGCUGGGAUUACAGGUGUGAGCCACCACGCCCGGCCGGAUUUUUCUUCUUUUCUUUUCUUUUCGGCGGGGAGGAGGAGAGUGUGAGGACCUUUGUCCUGGUUGGUGAACUUUUGCUUAAACCCAGCUUCUAUCUCUGGUUCUCAGAUAAGGAACCAGCUCCUUCUGGGAGCUGAGAGCCGCACCCCAGGUCUCCUUGCCACUCCUGGGCUACCUGUUUUCUCUUUCCUCAUAUCCAGGGCUGAUCACUCACCAGGUUCCCUCUUAGAAUCAUUUGCCAGGUCACUUCAUUUUCCUCUCUUCUCCCCUUUCUGCAGGAUGAACACUUCCCCAGGGGUCAAUCUGUGCACGCUCAGUCCAGGGGCUGGGUAAAGACAAAGUUUUUUGUUUGCUGUUGUUCACUUGUUUAUUUAAAUUUAUUUAUUUUGAGAUGGAGUCUCGUUCUGUCACCCAGGCUGGAGUGCAAGGCGCGAUCUCGGCUCACUGCAACCUCCGCCUCCCGGGUUCAAGCAAUUCUCUGCCUCAGCCUCCUGAGGAGCUGGGAUUACAGGUGUGCACCACCAUGCCCGGCUAAUUUUUGUAUUUUUAGUAGAGAUGUGGUUUCACCAUCUUGGCCAGGCUGAUCUUGAACUUCUGACUUCGUGAUCCACCUGUCUCAGCCUCCCAAAGUGCUGGGAUUACAGGCGUGAGCCACUGCGCCCCACCCUCACUUGUUUAUUUACUUGUUUUGUAAACAUUAUUUACUGAGCAUGAUCAAACUGCUAGACUGGAGAGGCUGCUGCAAUCUCCUCCCUCUGCCCCAGCCAUUUCCCGGUACCCAUCCUUGCUGGUGGUGUCUGCAAUCAGUGGGGCCCUGGCUGAGUUCACGGGAAAGGAAAUGGCUCAUUGCUUCAGCCUUUAGACCGGGGGGCAGGGAGGGCCUGUCGGGAGACCGCCUAGUCAGGGGCGUGUCAGAGGCCAGAGGGGCUGGGGCCCAGCAGCUGGGGCUUGGUUAAGCUCUGGAGCCUGGGCUCCAGGCCAGCUCGCUGCCAACCUCCACCUGAGACCACCCCACCCCCAACCCCCUUCCUUCUCUCCCCUGCUGCCGAGGCGCGCCCUUCCGGAGUGAAACUUUGUUUGGUUUCUCACGACCCGGAAGGCUUGAAGCAAACCUGCAAUUACUCACUGCCUGGUCUGUGCGGGCUGCAGCUCUCAGACUCAGGAUGAGGUGGCGAUAUGCGGUCUUGCUAUGUUGCUGAGGCUGGUCUCCAAUUCCUGAUUUCAAGUGAGCCUCCUGCCUCUGCCUCCCAAAGUACUGUGAUGAGCUACUACGCCUGGUCAUUGUCCCUCUUUCUCAUGACUCUCUGGACAUCCCUGGGGUGGAGGGUGGGGCAGGCACACACAUCCCUCAACUUCCCAGUGGUUCCACGAUGACUAAGCCAGCCCUGUCCCUGAGGCUGGGAGUCUGGAGCUAGGAUCCACCCCCAUGGCCUCAUAUCCCAACCUUGAGCCUGGGUUUCUGGUCAGACUGGACGGGCUAGCUCGGUCUCCUUAACUCUCAGAGUUGCCUUGUCCAGGCCCAGCGGGUCCCACACAGCCAGGCACACCCCACCCCACAGGGCUCCUGGGAAAUUCUCUGCCCCACCCUCAGGCUGCCUCAGACAGACUGAGGUUACCUGUGAUUAUCCCAGAUAACCCGAGUGAGCCCAUCCUCUGCUCUGGGUGGCUCCCUCCCUGGCAGCUGACCUGUAAAUUUUGAAAAGAUGGGGACAAUGCUCAGCGAGGAGGGAUGCUCCUGCUGUCUUCCCUGCUGGCCUGGCCACUCCCCAGACUGGACAGGUCCCUUGGCAGCUCUUCCCAGCAACCCAGGCAGCCCCAAGCCCCCUCUUGCUUGGUGUUCCAGGCCAGUGAGAAUCUCACUUCUUCUCCAAAACUUUGUCUUCCAACUCCUG